rnacentral:rRNA from 1 species
GACGAACGCUGGCGGCGUGCCUAAUACAUGCAAGUUGAGCGAUGAAGAUUGGUGCUUGCCCCAAUUUGAAGAGCAGCGAACGGGUGAGUAACGCGUGGGGAAUCUGCCUUUGAGCGGGGGACAACAUUUGGAAACGAAUGCUAAUACCGCAUAAUAACUUUAAACAUAAGUUUUAAGUUUGAAAGAUGCAAUUGCAUCACUCAAAGAUGAUCCCGCGUUGUAUUAGCUAGUUGGUGAGGUAAAGGCUCACCAAGGCGAUGAUACAUAGCCGACCUGAGAGGGUGAUCGGCCACAGUGGGACUGAGACACGGCCCAAACUCCUACGGGAGGCAGCAGUAGGGAAUCUUCGGCAAUGGACGAAAGUCUGACCGAGCAACGCCGCGUGAGUGAAGAAGGUUUUCGGAUCGUAAAACUCUGUUGGUAGAGAAGAACGUUGGUGAGAGUGGAAAGCUCAUCAAGUGACGGUAACUACCCAGAAAGGGACGGCUAACUACGUG